GGGUAAGUCCUGUGCAACCAGCUCCCCCUGACUCCUCCAGGGCUUGACCGCAGCAAAGGUAGGGGGUUGAGCGGUGUGAUGCAGAUAGCUUACCCACC
rnacentral:SRP_RNA from 1 species